CAAUAGCGUAUAUUAAAGUUGUUGCAGUUAAAAAGCCCGUAGUUGGAUUUCUGAUCGAGACAUCAGGUCGGGUCCGAGAGGAUCAUGUACUUUGAUUUUGUUUUGAUCAUCCUUGGGGAGAGCAUUUCUGGCAUUCAGUUGUCGGGAUUGGGAUCCUCAUCGUUUACUGUGAAAAAAUUAGAGUGUUCAAAGCAGGCCUCGGCCUCUGAAUACAUUAGCAUGGAAUAAUAAGAUAGGACUUUGGUGGUCUAUUUUGUUGGUUUGCACGCCAAAGUAAUGAUUAAUAGGGAUAGUUGGGGGUAUUCGUAUUCAAUUGUCAGAGGUGAAAUUCUUGGAUUUAUGGAAGACGAACUACUGCGAAAGCAUUUACCAAGGAUGUUUUCAUUAA
rnacentral:rRNA from 1 species